UACGGAGGGAGCUAGCGUUGUUCGGAAUUACUGGGCGUAAAGCGCACGUAGGCGGCUUUGUAAGUUAGAGGUGAAAGCCCGGAGCUCAACUCCGGAAUUGCCUUUAAGACUGCAUCGCUUGAAUCCUGGAGAGGUGAGUGGAAUUCCGAGUGUAGAGGUGAAAUUCGUAGAUAUUCGGAAGAACACCAGUGGCGAAGGCGGCUCACUGGACAGGUAUUGACGCUGAGGUGCGAAAGCGUGGGGAGCAAACAGG
rnacentral:rRNA from 1 species